rnacentral:rRNA from 1 species
AAUCAAGUGCCUUAAGGGUGUUCGGUGGAUGCCUUGGCGCUGAGAGGCGAUGAAGGACGUGCUACGCUGCGA